rnacentral:rRNA from 1 species
GACGAACGCUGGCGGCGCGCCUAACACAUGCAAGUCGAACGAGAGAUGAAGAGCUUGCUCUUCAGAUCGAGUGGCGAACGGGUGAGUAACGCGUGAGGAACCUGCCUCAAAGAGGGGGACAACAGUUGGAAACGACUGCUAAUACCGCAUAAGCCCACGGCUCGGCAUCGAGCAGAGGGAAAAGGAGUGAUCCGCUUUGAGAUGGCCUCGCGUCCGAUUAGCUAGUUGGUGAGGUAACGGCCCACCAAGGCGACGAUCGGUAGCCGGACUGAGAGGUUGAACGGCCACAUUGGGACUGAGACACGGCCCAGACUCCUACGGGAGGCAGCAGUGGGGAAUAUUGCACAAUGGGGGGAACCCUGAUGCAGCGACGCCGCGUGGAGGAAGAAGGUCUUCGGAUUGUAAACUCCUGUUGUUGAGGAAGAUAAUGACGGUACUCAACAAGGAAGUGACGGCUAACUACGUG